rnacentral:rRNA from 1 species
CAAUAGCGUAUAUUAAAGUUGUUGCAGUUAAAAGCUCGUAGUUGGAUUUCUGGUGGGAGCGAUCGGUCCGCCCCGCAAGGGGUGUGUACUAGCGUCGUCUCCGGCCAUCCUUGUGGGAACUGCUCUGUCCUUAGUUGGAUGGGGUUUGGGAACACAUCGUUUACUGUGAAAAAUUAGAGUGUUUAAAGCAGGCUUAGGCCGUUGAAUACAUUAGCAUGGAAUAAUAAGAUAAGACUUGGGUCAUUAUUUUGUUGGUUUGCGGAUCGAGGUAAUGAUUAAUAGGGAUAGUUGGGGGUAUUCAUAUUUAAUUGUCAGAGGUGAAAUUCUUGGAUUUAUGAAAGAUGAACUUAGGCGAAAGCAUUUACCAAGGAUGUUUUCAUUAAUCAAGAACGAAAGUUAGGGGAUCGAAGACGAUUAGAUACCAU